GUGGGGGAAACCCGGCAACCACAGGCCUCACCCGUCUCCCAUGCAGCCCAAAAGUCCAGUCUCACUCCCACCAUGUCCCCGCAAACAGCACUGAAUUUAUUUCCAGGCAACCAGUGAGCAAGGCUGAGAACUUGUCCCAGGUUACGAGACUCCCAGGUACAGUCAUGUGCCGCAUAAUGACAUUCAGUCAAUGACAGACUGCAUAUAUGAGGUGGUCCUGUAAGGUGAUAAUGGAGCUGAAAAAUUCCUACUACUGAACGACAUCAUAGCCAUUGUAACAUCAUAGCACAACCAAUCACCUUUUCUAUAUUUAGGUACAACACUGAAGGCACCGCCCAUGAAAGAAACAACUGAUAGGCUGAACUCCAUUAAAAUUAAAAGCUUUUGCUCUGCAAAUACAAGAGAAUGAGAACACAAACCGUGAUGCUGAAGUUACAAGUCUGAACCACACGUAGACUAUCAUAGACCCUCAUUAGGUACGCAUUAUUACCAUAGUUUUACAUGUUACAUAGAUUCUCACUUGAUGGUAGGUGAUGCUUGAUGUUGAGAGGAAACAAAAUACCGUCCCUGCAACCCCCAAGCAACUAUUCGCAUAUGCUGAUUUGCAGAGGAGGCCCUGAAGUGCUCAGAUGUAAGAAGAACUUAAACUCAGAUAAGGAGUUCAUAUGCUGGAAUGAUAGUGACACAGGAGUUUAACACUCCUACAGUAUCCAGAGCCUGGAUCCCUGAGUCAUCAGAUGGAGAAGAACUACUCAGGAGAGUCAUCCAACCUUCAUAGACAGUGGCAUGAGUGGGAAUUAAACAUUGAUUAUGUUAA
rnacentral:lncRNA from 1 species